GGAGGGUGUGCCUAAGUAGCAGACUUUCUUGGUUACCUCCUCUGCGUCCAUUCUCCCUUUCUCCUCCCAACAAAACCUUAAAGUUCCUCCAGCCUCCUCUCCUUCCCGAUGCAGUCCUGUGUUUCCAGGGAAGCCGUUCGCCAGCCUAGCUAGCAAUGGCUCAGGAGACCGCCCCAUCCAAGUACCCUGACACUUCGUCCUGAGGCUGGGGGCUGUGGCAGCUUUUCCCUGGAGCAGGGCUCAUCUGCUGGUCACUGCGUCUACUGCUUCCUGCAGACUGAGGCCGGGAACCCCAGAGUGAGACUGCAGCCCCCACGCUGCCCACCAGGUACAGACCCCCUGACUCUGCCUUCCGUCCAGCUUAGAGGGUCUCAAAAGACUGGAGGGCAGUCGUGUGAUCUUGGUUCCCUGCAGCCACAACCUCCCAGGCUCAAGCGACCCUACCACCUCAGCCUCCCGAGUAGCUGGGACUGCUGGCGCACACCACCAUGCCUGGCUAAUUUAUUGUUUUAAAAUUUUUUGUAGAGAUGGGGUUUCGCCGUGUUGCCUAGGCUGGUCUUGAACUCCUGAACUCCAGCGAUCUACCAGCCUUGAUCUCCCAGAGUGCUGGGAUUACAAGUGUGAGCCACAGCACCCGGCUGAAACCACUGUCUUUUGAAUAGAAAGGGCCUUAAGCAUGUGGCACGAGAAGGGGCAAAGGGAAAAGGAAAGGAUGAAGCCAAGUUCUGACAUCUCACACACCAUACCAUGUAGGCUGAAGAUUGAGGCCCGGGCUGCACAGUGAGCUGUAUGGCCUCCAGUGUACGUGCCAGGGAUGUGGGGUUCUCGGGAGGCCGAGGAGUCCAGGAACUGGAUGCAUCUGAACUGAGAAGAGUGGCAACACUUUGGAUUUUACAUUUGGCUUUGCUUUAAAAUUUUUUUUAGUUUGUUUUUCUGACAUAUAUUUAUUGUUCAAACAGCUCUGUAAGAACAUUAAAGGACAUUUUGUGAAAGAAAAGCCAUCAUCCAUAAUCCCCCAUGCCCACUCUCAACUGUUUCCAUUUUCUCUUCCCCUCUCUGAUCCUCGUCCACACGCAUACCUACGUUCACAGAGCAGAAAUCGGUGUGCACGGAAUAUGGUCCACUGCUUCCUUCACUUACCAUGACAAGGCAGACACAUUCCUGCAUCAGGGCAGCCUUGGAAACGACAUCUUUAACAUGGCUGCGUUUAAAGAUCAUAUAACGUGAUUUAUCUUUGAGUUGGUUACUAGAUCACGAAGUUUCUGUGUUUUUUAUAUUCUAUGCUGCAGUGAAUAUCUUUGUACAUCUAGCAGUUUUCCUUUUAUACAUUGUUUUCUGAGCCUAAGGGAGGGAGCCUGUGUGAAACCUUUGUGUGAACAUCGUUAUGGUUCUUUAUACUUGCGUUGACCUCAUAUGUAUAAAGUCUUGAAAGUUUUGAGAGCAUCGUGCUUCCCUAGAUCCUAUGGCAAUCGUAGAGGGGCACAUGUGUUCCCUCACAGGAAUGAGGAAUCGGAGGCUGGAAGGUUAAGAAGCUGAGUCGAGGUCACUCAGCAGAUAAGAGGCCUCAUUGGAAAUGGCAGU
rnacentral:lncRNA from 10 species